GUAAGCCGGAAGUACGGCUUCCAAAACAUCAGUUCAUAGAAGUAGCUAGGUAGUACUGUUCGGUGAAAUGACGCUAAAGUUGGGUCACCAUUCAAUAUACUUAAUGUAGCCGAGGAAGUAGUGAACACGGUAGAUAUGUUAGAUAAGUCAUUAGACACUUGUUUACUAUUCCCUUUGCUAACCGUUGUUAACUAUUAACCCGCUCUUACUCUGUGGCUGCUGCAGACGCUGAUAUAAAGUUAGCUCGCGCCUCCGGUGUUCUGUCGAGUUGUGUUACCUGGCGAGCUGCAGCUUCACAAGGUGGUUGCGAUUAGAGGUGGGGGUGGGGUUGAGGUUGACAGAUUCAUAGGUGGCAGCCCUUGACAGAGCCACAGUUCAUAUUUGCUUACAAGAAGUCCGAUAAACAUAGGUAACAACAAGCGUUAGGUUUUUUUUUGUUGUUGUUGUUCUUUCGUGAGAGGUAUUAGUCCUCUGCCGCCGGUGCAGAUGCCUCGUCUGGAAAAGAUAAAAGGCAAAGGAACAAAAAGACCAAGAUUAGACUGGAAGUUUGUUCAGAGGUUCUGCAGCAUCCAGAAGGUCCUGUUCCCAUCAUGGACCAGUCCAAAUGUCAUUAUGUUUGGGACGCUGCUUGGCAUCACUUUAACAGAGCAGCUGAUCAUUUACCAAGUGGGUGUCCUCCCCAGCCACUUCUACUAUGUGCUGGCAGACAAAGACUACUCAGGCUUCAAGAAUCUGGUGGGCAUGGCCAUGGUGCUCAUUAUACUCAACUCCACAUUGAAAAGUCUUGACCAGUACAUUUGCAAUCAGAUGUAUGUUAGCUGGAGGAAGACGCUAACUGAGAGCCUCCAUACAGCCUACUUUAAGGGCCGAGUCUAUUACACACUCAACGUACUCAGAGAGGACAUAGAUAACCCAGACCAGCGAAUCAGUCAGGAUGCAGAGAGGCUGUGUAAACAGAUGAGCACCAUGGCUAGUCGCUUGAUUGUGUCACCCUUCACACUGACCUACUACACGUACCACUGCUUUAACAGCACUGGCUGGAUUGGCCCUGUGAGUAUCUUUGGCUACUUUGUGAUUGGAACCAUUGCCAAUAAAAUCCUAAUGGGGCCAAUAGUUUCAACUCUGUUUGAGCAAGAAAAACUGGAGGGAGACUUCAGAUUCAAGCACAUGCAAAUCCGCGUCAAUGCAGAGUCUGCAGCUUUUUACAGAGCUGGUAAAGUAGAACACAUGAGGACCAACCGAAGACUGCAGGCCCUGUUACAAACUCAGAAGAGUCUCAUAAACAAAGAACUCUGGCUCUAUAUCGGGGUGAACACCUUUGACUACCUUGGAGGUUUCCUCAGCUACAUCAUUAUCGCCAUUCCCAUCUUCACUGGUAUCUAUGAUGGCCUCACUCCUGGUGAGCUCAGUGCACUCAUCAGUAAGAAUGCCUUUGUGUGCAUCUACUUGAUAAAUGGCUUCACACAGCUAAUAGACCUGUCAACCACUCUGUCAGAUGUGGCUGGAUACACCCACAGGAUUGGGGAGCUGAGGGAGGUGAUGGAUGACAUCCUGCGCGAGCAGUGUGACUAUGACCCUGCGUCAGGGGAAAGCUACGACUUUGACAGUGACUUCGAUGUCCAUGCAGGCCCAUUAGAUACUGCCUUCAUCGUGGACCAUCUUUCAUACAAAUCUCCGUACUCAGACCAGCUGCUGGUGGAGGACUUGAGUCUGAAAAUCAAACAGGGAACUCAUCUACUGGUGGUGGGGAACACAGGCACUGGCAAGACAUCACUACUGAGGGUCCUCAACCGACUGUGGGAGGCACAUAGUGGUUUUGUCCAAAUGACCACAUGUUUUGGGCCCAGAGGAACCCUCUUCCUGCCACAGAAACCAUACCUGACUGAUGGCACGCUGCGUGAACAGGUGAUCUACCCACUGAAGGACAUUUACCCUGCAUCAGGGUCAGUGGACGAUGACAGGAUUAUACAAUUCCUGGAAUUAGCUGGAGUGUCCAGUCUCCUGAAGCGGACAGGGGGUCUGGAUGAGGUGGUGGACUGGAACUGGUAUGAUGUUCUAUCUCCAGGUGAAAUGCAGCGCCUCUGCUUUGCACGACUUUUCUACCUGCAGCCCAAAUAUGCAGUGUUAGAUGAGGCUACUAGUGCACUGACUGAGGGGGCGGAAGCACAGCUGUACCGAACCUGUAAACAGCUCGGCAUGACUUUGAUCAGCCUGGGUCAUCGGAGCAGCAUUGAAAAGUACCAUGAUGUCCAGCUGAAACUGUGUGGAGGAGGUCGAUGGGAGUUAACUAAGAUAAGAGCAAGCAGUGGGAGUCUCAAUCACAGAGAUGAAGACAUGUGACCAGUCCCUUCUCUGAAAUCCUGGACAUACGAAAAGUGUCAGUGUGAUAGAGGAGAAGAGAAAGCACUCCUGAACUCUGCAGUUACUGUACUAACAUUUAAGUGCUCUUCAACAAGUUUCAUUCAUUACAACAUCCAAAAGCAGCACAGACCUCCGGUGUUUUUUACUCUGUGAAGUGGCCAGAACCUCUCCUGUGGUGAUGGGAGAGAAAACUAUCUUGAUGUAUUUGAAACAACAGACUUAAAAAAUGUACAAGGAGUGAUAAAGAGUUCUCUAAAUAAAGUGUUCUUAUGUUUUCUACGUU